GAUUUUUUUUUUCUUUUUUUAAACCAGGAUAUUGUGUUAUUUUUAUUUUAAUAAUACAUCUUUUGGGCACAUUUGCUUUACUAUGAUAAUUUAAUAUAGGAGCUAAGCUCCCAAUUAAAAGCAAAUUAUUAGGAUUUGCAGUUAAUCCAGAAGUGAAGCAGAACACUAGCAGAAUUUGCCUGUGAGUUAGGCCUUAUAUUUAUAGCAAAGAACCAACUCCUUUCUCCUCAUUAAUAUGCAUCUUGGAAAUAGCCUGUUAUUUCCAUUUAUCAUGAGGUGGAGAUUAUUUUCACAUUUGUACUUAUAAUUGUUCCUAUUUAUGUAAAACACAGAUGCUGUGUGUGUUCUGUGUGAGAAGCGGUGAGUUUGUGUGUAGAUGAGCAGCUGAAGCACGCCAGGGCCUGCACAUCUUGAAUUCUGCAUUUCACAAAUAUGGUAUAUAUUUGACCCAAUUUAUUAGCCACUGUCAAAUUUAGCCACGAUUUCUCUAUUGUCAUUUUGAAAGUAUAAUUGCACCGAAUAGUUUAGUAUCCUGCUCUUUAAUUUCUCUUCCCUUUUCUGAAGAAGGAAAGAGGAAAUGUAUGUAAACAUGAAAAUGAUGAGCUCCCUGAAAAUCCAAGUAGGAGAUAUUUAUGUAGAUUCCAGUCUCCCAAAGCUAGUGUUUCAUUUAGGUAGGAAUACAACAGUGAAUUUAUACUGGUUCAAGUACCUGGCCUUUCUGGUUUUGCAAAUUGCAUUUUAAGACCUAUGUUAAGCUACAAUCAGGGUAGAAAGCAUCAACUGAAAAUUCCAGAAACUAAUAAAUAUUCAAAUGACCCUGAUUUUAUGAUCAACCAUUUUUUCCCAAUUACAUAUUUCUCCAAGAAUUUAUAUUGGCUUCAUGAAACUAGAAACUUUUCAGAUAUGUAAAUCAAUCUUAGCAUUACUGUGCAGUAUUCUUUAAAUUAAAUUACAGUACAGAUAUCAGAUUCUAGCAGUUCUUUUGCUGCAAUGAGAUAAUUUCUGGAGGCAAGACACCUGGCCAGGCUAGAGUGGUGAUUAAUUUUAUGUGUUUAGGGUGCAAUCAUCACUCAGAAAAAGGCUUAGGGUUUGGAUGAUGGAUGAUGGGUAAAGUGCAGGCUGAUAGGACAUGGCCCAUGAAUCUGUUCUACAUCAUCAGUUCCUUUGAUCACUGGCAGAAGUUCAGAGAUACUUCUUUGCAUCUGUCCAAAAUAAACAAGGCUACCAUAUACCUUUUGCAAUAUCACUUUUAAAUACAGACCUAUUUGCAGGGGAGCUAACACUUUUUAUUUUUGCAACAAUGGCUGAGAAAAAUAAAAGGCAAACAUUUUGGCUUGCAUUUCCGUACACGUUUACAGACCAAAUGUGUGUGUGUGUGUCCAUACACAUCUAUAUACUGUAAUGAAAGGUGAUAGCAGAAAAGCAACUUUUUUUCAUCCCCACAUUGCUACCUACCUACCAUCUAUGCUAUAGAUGGGAUUCGGCAUAGCCGCUGAAAAGAAGGAUUACAUAGCCCGUCAGGAGAAGAAAAUCCAAAGUUAUUGCAAUACUGCACAGCAGUUCUUUUCCUUCAGUAAUGCUGGUGGCUACAAAUGGGUGAGAGUUUUUCUCACUACUGAUAGGAGAAUGAGCUAUGUAACCAAAGUAAUUUCGAUUAAUAAUUCAGCAGUUUAAGGGAGAAGAGAGACAGGAUUUGUACCAACCUAAAAGAAUACUUUUUUUGUAUCUCAAUUAACAAAGUACAAUUUGAUCACUGAAAGCAAAUGCUUCUUUAUCAAAUGAUUUCUACUUUUCUUUACCCAAUGCUGUCCCCUGCAGGGUGUAAGAAAUCAGAUCACAGAAGUACUCAAAGGCUAAAAAAUAAUAUAUUAUUUUAUUUUUUAUUUAAAUCCAAGAGUAGAAGAGAAAGGAAUAGCUGAAUUAACAUCAUGUCCUCUAUCAGAAUUCAUUAUCAAGCCAGCAUGAUUUAUAAUGAAUAAUCCCUUCAGAAGCUUGGCUGGGUGCUAUAUAAGAGGCAUUUCCUGAAAAUAUUCUCUCGUAUGUUAUUGCAUAUAUGCAACACUGCUUUCCAUAGGUGUUAUGAAUUCCUAGUGCUCAUGUUGAUAUUGUGUCCGUGGGCACUAAGCUGUCAGCUGUUUAUUUCAUAGGCCUCAUCAGCUACACUUAAACAUGGAAAUCAAACAGAACACACAAAUUAUAAAAUCACGGUAUGUCUUAAUGGACUUUCUUACCACUUUAUAGAGUGGGAAGUAAAAAGUAUGCAAGACGAUGCUCCAUAUAUGUGGAAAAUAUAAAACUACUGCUCUGUUUAAAAGACAGGUGACCCUUAUAAAUGAAAUACAACUCCUCGGAAAAAUUACAUGAAAAAAGUAAACAAGGGAAGUGUAAAGGUGGGAGAACUGGUUAGAUUUCAUUAAUAGGAUUAUCUUUGUACCAAACAAAAACAAAACAUGAGGCUUAAAAAACUCUGGGAGCAUUUCUUAUCACAUAGAAAUCAUGCUCGCAUGAUUACUGUCUCCUUUCUCAACUGGAAAACACUGCUUUAUCUGACUAAGUGCGAAUACUGAAAUGUUCAUUAGCUGUCUUGAAACACCAUGGCUUGUCUUUAUUGAGUUGCAUUUCAUCCAUAGCCUUUGCACCUGGGGGCACACAAUAAAUUUUUCUGCACAAAGGGUUUCUCAAGAGUGGUAUGACUGUUCCUUUUCUCCCCAGAGUCUGGAUGCAUUGCAUCAUCUUCUAUCAUACUUAGAAGCCCGGGGCCCGGGAUGAGGAAUUGUUUAGUAUCUCCAAACCAAAGCUUGCCACGUAGCAGAUCAAAUUGUUGUUGCUCUGCCACCGAGCUGACUCAGUACUUGCUUGUUUGAUUUAAGGCACAGUUCCACUGUGAAAAGUUAUUGUGGAAAUGGUAUUUUCUUCCUUAGCAGAGCUAGUUCCUACAUGUAUGAAGAAUUGUAUGUGCUGACUCAAGUGACAACCAUAAGCAUUUGCUGCUUCUGCUCUCACCAGCUCUGUGGAGCAGAGACAGAAAAGAGAAAAGCAGGUUGGAGUCUAUUUAAUCUGCAUGUGUUAAUGCUCUUUUCCUGGCAUCUGUGUGUUUACAGCUGUGCAAAUUCAGGGAGAAAUACAGCAUCCCAGAGCUGUUUACAGGAGUAUAAUUUGGCUUUCAGUGCUCUGGAGCAGCCAUGGAAAGGAAAUAUCUUUUCCCUGUUUUCUUGGAUCCCAUAGCACCUGUGAAAAGAUCACAGACUUCGAAAGUAAAUAAAUAAAAAUUGAAACAGAGUAAAUCAAUACUUCAUAGUUUUUCGUACUUACCUUUUACCUGUAGUGACUUGCAGACUUUGUGGUACCAUAGAAGAUUAUUCUGUGGCUUUCUGGCUUUGUAAAUUUGUCUCUUGUAAUAACAUCAUCUCUGACUAUUCAAAGAUAGUGGGAGAACAUAAUGGCUUUUAGCGUCGGUUGCUGCUGCUUUUACAUAAAGCAAUGCCAAUUUCUUUGUAGCUUUUCCCAGGCAGCUAUCAUGCUUUUGGAGCUGUCUGCUAAGUGUUGUGUACUGCCAGCGCGUGGCACUGCCCUGCACCGACUCUGUUCUUUUCCCACCGAGCCAUUUUGGAAAUUAGUGAGGGCUUUCUGCUUCGUCUAUCUUACCCAGUCUGUUUGUGAAACCGUGAAGGGAGUUCACAAGGAAUUGUGGUCUGAGUGCUGGUUUUAGCAUGUUCACGGUGGCCGGCUUUAUUGCUUCAGGUUGCUUCACCUAGAGAGAAGUUGUCUCUCUUCCUCAGUUUCAAGGUGACUCUGAAGUUUGCAUGAGGCUGACUUGGGCUUAUGUUCCUUCCCAAAAAUGCAGUGGUUAGAGCAAGUAAAGGAGCAAGAAGAUUUACUUGAAUAUUUCAGCUACUUAAAAGAGAUUUUGAGCUAUCCUUUUAAAAUCCUAAGUGCUACCAGAUGAUCAAACAGCCAGCAGUGUCUGCUGGUUGCUUUCAUUAUUUUUUCACACUUCAGUAGGAAUUGUCCCCUUUGCAGAGCUGUUUGUGGGGCUGUAUUUUAAAGCCAGUAGAACUGAGCAAUAUGGCAGCCUGCUUAAUUAGUCCAAUACCUUACCAUGUGUCUUCAGAGCAAUAAAGGCAAUCAGUUCACUGUUGAAUAGCAUUUUUGAUAACCAAACUCCCAAAGGCUGUCCUACCCAAGAGAAAGUGGUCAUGAACAAGCUGUGCUGUGGCACUCAAAAUAACCACCUGCCCCUGUGCUUGAAACUUCCUUAACGCUGAGGAAACAAGGAGCAGUUGACAGCUUUGGAGCCUUCUGUCCAGAGUGGUCAACAAAGUCAGCUUGUGUUGGCUUCAGGAUAUGCUGGAAACCCAUUCUUCACCUGGGAACUAAGGCUGGGUUCUCCUAUAGGGCAGUACGAUCUUAAUGCUAAAGCUGCUGGUGCUGGGAGUGUUUGGUAUAGGCAGUUGAAUUCUGUAACAGAUAUUUAUAAAUAAAAGUGAAACCUCAUAAUUAUGCUUUACACAGUCCGUUUUGAACACAGUUUCUUCUGAGGAAAACUUUGGUUCCUCUCAUCAGUUUGUAGAAAUGGUGUCAUUUCCCCAUACUGGAGGAGACAGCAGCUCUGCCCGACCUACAGAGGGUGAAAAAGAAAUAUAGGAGGUAACGGUGUGGAGCUUAUAUCCUAGUAAAAGAUAACUUAUCUCCUAGAUCCUAGCACUUAGAAGAUGAUAGCAAUAUGUGAUUUAUCAAAAAGCUGGGAUGGGGGUGAGGUUGACUUUGAUUUCUGUCUGAAAAUAGAAACUGCAAGUUUCCAAGAUUCUUUCUAAUACGAGGCUAAACUAUAAAAUAUGAGAUGACUCUUUAAACUUGCAUUUUGAUUAACCCUUUAGUUAUUGUAAUCUGAGCAACGAAUAUUUUAUUGAUUUAUGUGUGGUUGGAUUGGGUUUAUGUCCAGUAUUGGACAUAAAAUUUUUAUUUAUUUAUUUAUUUUUAAUACAGGUAUCCCUGUAAACUCUGAGUCUGGUUUAGCUUGUUCAGUAAUUCAUCAAAAUACUGUUUUGCAUUCCCAUUAGAAGGAAGAAUAUUGGCAGCCCCAAUACUCACUGUUUUGUUUUCAUGUGUAGGUGGGUACUGGAGUGCAAAUUCGCUUCCUGUUCCUUAAUAGCAGUUACCUCCAAGGACCCUGAAGAGAAUCCCUAAUGCCACUGGAGCUUUACCUUGUCCUUGGAGCCCUUUUGUUAGGAGCAUGCCUGACCAGAGGGGAUAAUAGGAACUUGGAAGACAAGUACAUUUGAAAAAUGCACAUACAUACUGCAGAGGCGUAAGCUUGACAAUCUUUAGAAGCUGUCUGAUAACUUUUUACAAAGCAGCUUGACCCCCUACUGUUAUUUUUUUAUAUUUGUAUUUACUUUAGCACACAGAAAACCAAUCAUGGUUUCUGUUGUAUGAGUUACUUUAUAAAAGUAGACAGAGGCAUGUAGCAGCUCAGAAGAGCUUACAGUCUCCUGCAAACACUUGGCACUUUCUUCCCUUCAGGUCUGAAGUUAUUGGGAGAGCAGAAAUGCUUUGAUUUUAUCCUUUUACAGAAUCUGGGGCUACAAAUGAUAAUGAAAUAUUCUUGCAAAGAUCUAGUACCCAAAUAUUUUCUUCUGGAAGAAUAUAAUCAUAAGUUUAUAUUACCACCAAUAUUAAAAGUUUGCUGUUCAACAGCACGUUACACCAGAAAAGAGAAUUGAUUGAAAGUGUAUAUCCGUUCAAAUUAUUGCAAAAGUACCCAGUUAAACCAAUAUAAAAUUAUCUUCCAUGUUGCUGUUGGGGAUCGUUCUGCUGCAUUCACUUGGAUGUCAAAAUGACAGGCCAUUAGCCUAAGGGUAAGCUAAUUAUUUAAGGGACUUCUCUUAUUUUGUACAAUAAAGACAUAUUCUUGAAAAUACAACACAAGCAUAGAUAUGCAUCAGAUAGUGACGUUCUUUUUUUUUUUUUUUUAAAUAUGAAAAUGUAAUUUUAGCAUUCAAACAGUCAAGACAGUGGUAAUUUAAAAUAAAACAAGAACAACAGUCAUUAAAUGGCUGUGUUUCUGGACUUAGAUUGAUGCUUAACACAUUGAUCUUCUUCAAUAGAAGCUUUCCAUAUUCCAUCUGUUAGAAUCUUUGACCUUUUCUUAACACCAUUAAAAGAUAAAAUGUUAAUCUACUGAAAAAAGAUGCAUGACCUUUUAAAAGUGAACUGUACCACUUUACAGUCUGCCAUCAUUAAAGAACUUUAUGCUCAGGAGCCAUGCAUUAUGUGUAUCAUAGCAAUAUAAUUGUUUAGAAUAAUGUAAUUGUUCAACCAAGAAGAUAUAUACCAUGCAUAACAUAAAUUAGAACUAGAACUAUGUGAACUUUGAAAACCCAAUCAAAAUAACAUGUCAGAUCAAGGCUUACUUUCAGUUUUAAUCAGCCUCAACCUCAAAUUUAUUUUUUAUUAAUAUGCCAAGAUUCGUGCAUAGAAGAAACCAUUGUAACAAAGGAAAAGAUUGGUAAUUUGGGAUAAACAAAACUGCAUCACUAGCAAAGAAAGAUGCUUUUUUGUUUUGUUUUAAUCACCUAUAUCUAUCUUUUUUUUUUUUUCUUUUUUUGGCAUAAGGAAAUAAAUAUGGAGCUAAUAUCUUAAACAGUACCGACGAAUUUCAGUAGCAAGAGAAUUCUUGAAAAUAGACUUAACAUCUUUCUUCUAAAUCUGAAUUGUCUCAAACUAGACUUCUGAAUAGCAAUGGCCACAAUUCAGAACAGCACCAAAGCGUGGUUUAAAUGCAUUUUAGUAAAGCAUUUAGUUUUGAGUACAGGAUAAUUUGAUUCUACUUCAAAUUAAGCUUCUGUUCUGAAUCCUGACUGCAGAGUCAAACUGAAUACAUGCUACAGGUUCAGAUAACCUAAUCUUAUUUUCUAAUGAGUUUGGUGUUUUAGAUGAAGUCCCUUAAAUAAGUUUGAGGGCAUAGUUGUCUAAUUCAUAAAGUGUCCACUUAAUAACCACAUAACAUAGGGUCCAACUAUCUUCUUCAUUUGAAUAUGAUGGUUUGCUAGUAUUUUUUAUUUUAUGGGACAAAAAAACUAUUCUAUAGAGGAAGGCUCAGAUUCUCUAAAUUUCAACUGAUAUUCUGACUCAAGUCCCAGCUUGAUCCAUUUUGCCCUGGUAGCUCUCUGGAUCCUAGGUUAGAUGCAUCUGGGUUUGAGUAUCCUCUCUCUGAACUUCUGUAUGUUUUCCACUGGAAUUGACUCCAUAAGGAAACUGCAUGCAAAAUCAAAAUAGAAGGGUUUCAAGAUGGCAUGAGCUUAGCUCUUGUAUAUUGUAUUAUUUGUUCAUAAUAAUGUAAGUAGCAUUAGCAGCAUCACUGUGCUGGGGGCUCUCAACCCUGAUGCAAUGGGUGCAUCCCAAUGAGAAAUUUAGGGCAUACGAUGGGUUGUUCUUUCAUGAAUUUGCCUUGCACCCAUACUUGAAGGCUUGCAAUGUGCAUUCAAAACUGUCUCCCACCUCAUGAAACAGGCUGAAGUCAUGUGCUGGUUUACUCUUCCCACUGACCCACUUGCGAUGCAGAUGUGCAGUCCUGCAGAAGUUGGCUCUCUGCCUGUGUACUGCAUGCCUAGGAAUGGAAACUGGCUUAAACCAUUAGGAAUGACUUCAUGUGGAUAUGCAGUGCUUGAGCCAUAACAGAUCACAGCAAGUUGAGCCCUGGUCCUGUCUCCUUUGUUCCAGAACUGGUGAUGUAGGCAUAUGAAAAGGAUUUGUGUUUAAUGCCUGGAUAGUAAGGGAGAGCAGGAGAAAUGAAGCUAUGCAGUGCAGUAGGGUAAGUGGUCAGGCUGGCGUGUUAGCCAAGCUAGCUCUAGGUGUUUCAAAGAGGUACAUUUUAAGCAGGAGGAUGAAGAGAGAGUUUAUGUAUGUCUCAGUGUUGCCAAAUCUUACAAUCUUAUCAACAGCAUUAAGAUGUAUGGUAAUGCUCUUUAAGUUCCAGCAGUAGAAACCUUGUCAUUAUUUGAGCCUAUUAGGAUUCCGUUUAAAAGAAAAAAAAAAAAAGUUUUUAGCCAGGAAAGAAAUUUGAAACUGCAUCUGAAAAAAAAAUAUCAGCAAAAAGAUAGUUUUAGAGGGUUUGCUGAGAGUAUUACAAGUAGAAAGUCGUUCUCCUGUCAAUGUCAACUUUUAACUCCAGUUAAAACUUUGUAUUCUGCUUUCUGGUCAAGUUGCUGGACUAGCUCUGUCUGUUUGUUUCUGUUAAAGCAUCAGCCCGUUUUGUAUAUGCCAUGCAUUUCAUCUUUGAAGUUAGCAGUCACUUUUUUGUCAAGCUCUCUCAUUGUUUUGACCUGCUUCCCAGUCCCAGCCCCAUUUUAUCACUGCAAAUUUCCUCUCUUGCAUAUUCUUCCCUCUAGGUCAUUGAUAGUGAAAGCAAGCAAUAUGUUUCCUGGUGUUCAACCAUGUGGCACUUCACUAGUCACAUAAUACACUAGAUAAGCAGCUGACAGUCUGUGCUGCUCUGAAUAGCAUAUGUGCAUGCCAUCUGAAAGCCAGGAGCCAGAGGACAUAGAUGCAGCCAACAGAGGGAGUCAAUGGCAGCCAAGCAGUGGCCAUUCGACCAGCACUUUGGAGAAGAGAAGAAUGGACAGCUUCGCACUUAUGGUCGUAGAGUAGAAGAUUUCAGGUUGUUUUCCCAGUCCCUAAGCAUCUUGACAGGCCCUGUGCUCUUCUGCUUUCAAGCUGCAGCUUGCCUACCUGAGAGAAGUUUAGUGCCAGCUCUGCAGGAGGAGGUGAUACCCACCAGAAGGUCAAGUAUGUUGAGGAAAGGUUGCCCCCCCCCCCCCCAUAUUUUUUAUCUGGACAUGGAAGGUAUCAUUGGUAGUGUUUGCUUUUUUUGUCUGCUAAGGAUAGCUACCGAGUAGUGUACAGAAGCUGUAAUUGCUAUCUAAUUAGCAUUACGAACUAAAACCUAUGUUGUAGAGAACACCUGCUUGCUCUUCCUUUUAGAAUAUAGUAGUAAUGUUUAAAGUCUCUUGUGCAUACUCAUAGCUUGUUACCAAACAGCUUGAAUGAUAUAGUCCCCACCAACCAAAUUGGUGUUCCCUUCAGACUAAGGAAAGUCUAGGUCUCAGUGCUGGUAUAUAUAAUGAAGAGAACAACAGUCUUUUCUCUUUGACAGAAACAAGCUGUCAUGGUAAUAGUGAAAUGAGAUACAGAAGAGAAAAUAUUUCAAAAUGUUCUUAGACACGUUCAGGCAACAUGUAAAUAGAAUAAUAAAUCUGGCAAGAAAGAUCUGUUUACUUUUUACCUGAAAGGACUAAGAAGUUUUUUUUUUUCCUUUUUAAAAUGUGAAUUUCGUUUCCUUCCACCUGAAGGCUGCACAGGAUUGCAGCUGUCCACAGCAAGAAACUCAUCAUUCACUCUCUGAUCAGCACAUACAGAUUCUGUCAAGUUUGGAUGAUGAGUAUUUUCAUCUGAAGUUGUCUUGCGGCCUUUAGAAGACCAGACUUUCAGACAACUGAGAUGUACAACAGAUACCCCAUACUGUUCACAGGUACCCAGCUCAAAACCAAAAGCUUCUUGAAGCCCAGCGUGGAGCAGAGGAGCCGAGCCCCUCGCCUCUCACCCAGCACAGCCUUUCAGCACAUGCCAGUCCUCGAGCCUACGUGUGGUCCUGUUGGCACCUUGCACACCUGAACCUUUCAGUCUCACCAUGCAACUGGAAGGAGAUCUCCACUCAGACUCCUUUUACAACCUCCUCUGUCACGUUUGGGUGGUGCAUCACUGUUUGGGACGUGGCCCUGGCAGGGAGCUCAGUGCUUUUCCUUUCCCCACGGAAGGUCAGUUUUUAAUGGUCCUUGCACUUCAGAUGAGUCCAGCCAAGAAAAUGUGUGUGGCCUCUUCCUAAUCUGAGGAGUAGGGAGUUUGGAGGUCAGGCUUAUAUGUUGCAAGUCCCCAGGCUAAAUAUGUUUUUUAAGAAUUUGUACUUCAGUAGUGACCCUCCAAGAAGGGUUUCUGGCAUCGAGGGCCCGGUCUCCGCAGGCAGAAUCCAGCGUAAUCCUGCCCAGAACAAUACAAAGGCGCAGAGGCCAUUAAGUGACUCGCCCAGCAUCCCACAGGAAGGCUGUGGCAGAAAAGAAAAUAAAAACUUGAAGGCCCUGAAACUUAGGAAUUUGGCCGCUAGAUAUGCGUUCCCACGUGUGUUCUGGCUGCUGGGUUUUCAGUGUAUUUCAGGUUUUUCCUCUCCUGUGUUAUCCCAGUAUUCAGUCAGCCUCAGCAGAAGGCAUUGCCUUACACCCCAGCAUUACCCUCCCUGACUUGCUCUUGCUUCCACAGCAUUCCCACUAUUUAUCUUUGGGAUGCACCUACUACGGGUUUCAACUGUUUGUAUUAUUACUUUUUAUGCAGUUUAUGUUUAAGAAAAUAGUAGUUUCAGUAAACAAAUACAGGUAUGUUUGCCAUAUUAUUACUGUUAAUUCCUCCAGUUUACACUGUCAUGUCUUCAAGAGAAUUAAUUUAAAUUUGACAUAAUGCAUUAAUCAGGCUGAGAUUGCUUCUAGUUAUAUGCAGUUGAGCCCAUCUUUAGCAGCUCAAUUACUGAAAAAAAUCCCCUUAGUGGCUCAAAAUAUUUGUUUGUGAUCAAGAGCAUGCAUGCCCUUCAGUCUGUAAUGCCUUCCUUUUGAUAUGAACAGAAGCAGGAGACCUGGUGCUUGUAGUUCACCAAAGUGGCUAUUUCCUUAUAACCUUUCUCUUGUAACAAUGUUUAUUCAGUUAUCAGGGAAGAAAUAUCAUUUGUCCAUGCAGCUACAAUUACCCAAUUUGUUGUAUAAAUUAUUACUUUUUUUCUCAUCUCGUGUUGAUGACAGAAUCAUUUAAUAGACUUUCAGUUGCUCAAGCUUGAAAAUUGGUUCCACAUUCUCCCUUUUUUAGUUUUCCUCCCUAGGGUGAAAGCAAUGUGGUCUAAAUACAAUUUCCAGCCCCCCCUCCUUUUUUUUAAACAUCUGCUUGUAUGAGGAUGUUGUUGUGUACGUUAGCGCUGUACAGUUUAGCACCCUUUAGGACUACCUUUGGCUCUCAGCUUCCUUGCUCCCUGGGCCAAUCAUAAUAUAUCAGGAACCGUAGAUAUUUCCUAUCUCAGCACUCUCCAUAACUCUUUUGCUCAGCUGUCUGAAGCUGUUUUCUUUAGGAAGUCCAAAGCGAGGGGGCCUGGUUGACCUGGCAUCAGUCCUAUUUAUAAGAAUAAACCCUCUUCCCUGUACACCUUUGGAGCUUUGUCAUGUAGGGGUCACAUCCGUUUAAAUUAAUAGCUAGAGCGCCCGUGACGGAACAUGGCCACGUAACCUUUAUUGUCCCGUUCUACCCUUUUGUUUGAAGUUAUAAAACCUACUCAGCUGAUUUUCUUCAAAGCUGAGGUUACAGGAUCUGCAACCGUGCCUCUGCCACAUAAUUAAUUAGGAAGGAAAAAACAGCUAUUGUCAUGUAUAGAAUAUUUUUGCAACGUGUUUAUUUGUUUGUUUAAAACCAGCAUUUGUUUUUAAAUUUUUGCUCUCCCGCUGUCCUUGCUGAAAUAAAUGCCAGUCAGGCUUGUUUGCUUAGCAUAGGAGUUCCUGUGUGGCGCUGGGAAGAAAUGAUGUAUGGAGCAGCCAUCUCAUUUCCAGCCUGCGAUCUCUGUGCUUGGCUUAGAAGUAAUGCCACCGCUGCCUCCGUGGCGCUGGAGAUGCCGGAGUUAUGAUCUUCCCACUCACGAGUCAACCUGGCUCCCUACGCUCCCACUCUGCCUCAGGUUUUAAUGAGUCUUCGGCCUCCCUGUCCUGCUCCAACUCAAAUCCAGAGUGUGAGAAGACUGCUGUAGGGGAAAGGCUGGAUUUUUCCCUGUCAAAAUUCUUUGGGCCAAGGUCUUACCUGGUGCAUGAAGAGGGCGGAAGCAACAGCCUCACCUUCUCACAGGACUCUCUACCGUGCCAGCAAACUACUUCAAGAGCUGCUUCCUCUCGAACAGCACCAGGGGCUUAUCCUUACGUACCCUAAUGGUCUCAUGCCUUCAGCAAGCUGUGGCUUACACCCUGCAUACCUCCUCAUCGCUGUUAUCACCAACGGUUUCCUCAAUGGAAAUAAUCAUGCACAUUACAGCAGUUGCCAAAACCCUCUGGCACCAGAAGCACUCUUGGAAUGAGAGCCUGAAGGCAUGCGAGGGCCUGAGCAGCUGUAGCUGCGGUGAGGAGCUUAACUCAUUUCCAUGAUGGUGGUUUCAUCCUGGCUCAUUCCAGCCCCACCAGUGCCCAUCUGCCAGGAUUAUUCAUUCCUCCCUUCUGUAACUCUGUCGAGCAAGGCAGUUCUGCGUCCUUCGUGCUUUCUGUGAAACCAUUUCCAGCAGCAAACAAGAGUGUGCUGAUUAAAAUUUAAGAGUUAUCUCAACGAGUUGAAGAUUCCUUCACCAGCUCACCUUGGCUCAGGUGUCCCCCCGGUUGCCAACAGCCUUUAACGUGCAUCAAGGGACAGAACGUGGCCAGCAAAUGAAGGCAUUCCCAGGGGGCCGUCAGCGGCUCUUCUGGGCUCUCCACCUCCAAAGAUGACCAGAUAGCAGGCACCUCUCAGCCUUAAAUGCGGGCAGAAGAGGAAUGCAAAAGAGGGAAAUGAGACCUUAACUGGGUGCUGCAUUCCCACAGCGUCCCGGAUCAACCUAUCCUCAUAACCAGCACGGGUCUGUAAGCACAAAUUCACCAGUUGUCUAACUGAGCAGCAGGUUUCUUAACCUCCGCAUUCGACAGCGCUGUGAAUGCCUGCGAUCCCCUAUCAAACGAGCAGCCCACGAGAGGAAGGCGUCCGCUUCGUGAUGAUUUCCUUUGCAUGGCCUGAGCCUUCAGCAGGCUGCGUAAGGAAGACGUCUGUGUGUGUGUGUGUGUGUGUGUGUGCCUGGCUGCGCUCCCCUCUGGUGCUGAUUUAUCUCCUGCAGGCCAAACCUGCCUUCAAAGCCCCCUGCAGCUCCCCGGCCUCGGCGCGGGCAGGAUUGGGCCGCGGGCACGUGCGGGCAGCGAGCGGGGCCGAGCACCGCGGGGCCUGCGGUGUGCGAGCGGGGCCUGGCGCGCGGCAGGCGAGCCGGGAGAGGUGCGCGGUGCACCCCGCCGCGGUGCCAUAAAAUAUGCAUAGGCCCUUCUGCUGGAAAUGAGGCUGCUUAAUUGAAAGGAAUCGGGAGGUGAAAAAUGGAAUUUGGCAGUUCUGCUCCGCUCCACCAUUUGGUGCUUGUUGUGGGACUCCAGCGAAAGGGAGCUAUCACUACGGGCAUAAUUUACUUGAUUUUAAGGAUCUGUAUGAAUUCUGGCGACAUACCAAGUAGCCAUUAGCUACGAGGAGUGUUUCCCGAUGCUCAUUUGUUUUCCAUGUGUGAAUUUUCGCUCGUCCAAACUUUCUUUAGAAAAAAAAAGUAUUUUUUCUUCAUCAAUUCCAUGUGGAAAAUACAACAAAAAUCCAGAUAAUAAAUUAUUCAGGAAACACAACAGAUUUUUUUUUUUUUUAAUGGAAAAAUACUAGUUCUGGAAUCAAACUGUCAGCUUGCUUUGAUUUUGAUAUUUUUAAGUUAAGUGUUAUAAAAUGAUAUGGCUGUUCACAUGCUCAAGGAUAGUCUUUCUGGGCAAAUUAUCCUAAAUAGAGUAACUCAAUAGCAAAGUAGGCAGGCUUUUAAUGCUAUUACUAUUAGGAAAAUACCAUUAAUAUGAGACAUAUGCAGGAUGCUAUUACAUCAGUAGGCUGCAGUUACUUACUCAGUAUGCAGGAGCGGUGCUGCGGAUCAGAGCAGAGAUGCUGGGCCUUUCACACAUGUAACGUGGCUUAGUCUUGAGGUCAAAAUCUGCUAAUGCAAUUUGCUGUAUGAGAACAAGAAUUUAAAGUCCAUGUGGUUUUAAUGACACGUUCCAAGAUGGGGGGGGGAUUUGUUUUUGUUGUGUGUGUGUUUUUUUUUUUUUUUAAUUUGUGCUGCUCACACUGAAUGUGAACUUCUUUGAAACCUGUAUCUGUGUCAGACAGAGUAAUUUGCAAAAUGAGACAAAGAAACAAAAAAAAAAAAUUCUCCAUCUAUUUAUGUGAAAAAAAAGUUUGAUUUUUGUUAUGUUUCAGAUUAUAAAGAUCAUUAUUGGUAA